rnacentral:rRNA from 1 species
UCGGGAAUUUUGGGCAAUGGGCGAAAGCCUGACCCAGCAACGCCGCGUGAAGGAUGAAGUAUUUCGGUAUGUAAACUUCGAAAGAAUGGGAAGGAUAAAUGACGGUACCAUUUAUAAGCUCCGGCUAACUACGUGCCAGCAGCCGCGGUAAUACGUAGGGAGCAAGCGUUGUUCGGAUUUACUGGGCGUAAAGGGCGCGUAGGCGGCGCGGUAAGUCACUUGUGAAAUCUCUGAGCUUAACUCAGAACGGCCAAGUGAUACUGCAGUGCUAGAGUGCAGAAGGGGCAAUCGGAAUUCUUGGUGUAGCGGUGAAAUGCGUAGAUAUCAAGAGGAACACCUGAGGUGAAGACGGGUUGCUGGGCUGACACUGACGCUGAGGCGCGAAAGCCAGGGGAGCAAACGGGAUUAGAUACCCACGUAGUCCCUGAGCGGGCUGGCAAGGCGCAU